CUGAUCGGUGUUAUCUAUAGUGAUUGGCCAGGUGGAAUCGAGAAUCGACUCAUUUUCGAUAAAACGUAAAGUGAAGUUGUGCAAUUUGUGAAUAAUAUUCCAUAAAAACUGUUUGUGUCUUUCUACCCAUCCGUUUUCAGCUGUUGGCAUCUACUUAGGCAUUCUUUGGUAGAAGUAACCUGGAUUAUAACUCUCCACCUGUUGCUAACGAUUGUCCAACAAAUGAGAGUGAAUUAAAGUUCAGUUUAGUCCUACUCAAACCACCAUAUCUACAUGGGUGUUGUCUUCCGUUUUCGCCUUCCAACAUUAUGCAGUUACAGUUGUAACUUUCAACCGAUGAGUGAGUGGAACUGGAUAUUUAUUUGAAUUCCACUGAACUAAGAAAUUUUCUGCAAUAGUAUUCCUCCUGCUUUGCUUUUCACGCCUUUGGAAUGUUACUGUCUACAGCUAAUUAAGAUUGAAGAUAAACGAUUGAGGUAGUAGAUAGUCCAAUUUUGAUGCUGUUGAAAAACAAAUCUUCUCCCUCCUAUGAUGUUUCAUUUGUUAAUUUUUCAUCUUGGAGGCUCUUGUAGUUAAUUAAUUAAGGAACAUUGGAAGAACUCCAGAUGCCAUUAAAUUAUGCCAUUUUUCCGUUGGGAACAGGGACAGUGUGCUGUUGCCAAAGAAAGGAUUUACGACAAUGAACUGGUAUUCCAACAAAUGAGAGAGAAUAAAGUUCAGUUUGGUUGUACUGAAACAGCCAAUGUCAACAAGGGCGUUGUCUUUCGUGGACUAUAUUCUUGGUUUGCUGAUUUCGUCUUCGCCUUGCAACAUUAUGCAGUUAAUUUUCAACCCAUGAGUGAAAGCAACUGGAUAGUUAAUUGAACUCCACUGAAAUAACAUAUUUUCUGCUACGGUAUUCCUCCUGGAAUUGGUUUGCUUUUCUCACUUGUAAACUUUGGAACGUUACGUUCUACAAUUAAUUAAGGUUAUGCAAAAAAUGAGAGAGAAUUAAUGUUCAGUUUGGUGAUGCUGAAACAGCCAAGGUCUACAUGGGUGUAGUCUUUCGUGGAUUAUAUUCUUGAUUUGCUGUUUCGUCUUCGCCUUGUAACAUCAUGCAGUUAAUUUUCAACCCAUGAGUGAGGGCAACUGGAUAUUUAUUUGAAUUCCACUGAAAUAACAAAUUCUCUGCUAUAGUAUUCCUCCUGAAGUUGGUUUACUUUUCACACCUGUAAACUUUGGAAGGUUACGUUCUAUAAUUAAUUAAGGUGAGAAUACUUGAUAU